CCGGCCACUUUUUUAGGUACACCUUGCUAGUACCGGGUUGGUCUUCUGCUGCUGUAGCCCAUCUGCUUCCAGGUUCGACAUGUUGUGCGUUCAGAGAUGCUCUUCUGCAAACCACGGUUGUAAGGAGUGGUUAUUUGAGUUACUGUUGCCUUUCUAUUAGCUCGAACCAGUCUGGCCAUUCUCCUCUGACCUCUGCCAUCAACAAGGCAUUGUCGCCCAGAGAACUGCCGCUCACUGGAUAUUUUCUCUUUUUCCAUUCACUGUAAGUGCUAGAGAUGGUUGUGCAUGAAAAUCCCAGUAGAUCAGCAGUUUCUGAAAUACUCAAUCCAGCCCGUCUAGCACCAACAACCAUGCCACAUUCAAAGUCACUUAAAUCACCCUUCUUCCCCAUUCUGAUGCUUGGUUUGAACUUAAACAGAUCAUCUUGACCAUGUCUACAUGCCUAAAUGCAUUGAGUUGCUGCCACAUGACUGGCUGAUUAGAUAUUUGCGUUAACGAGCAGUUGAACAGGUGUACCUAAUAAAGUGGCCGGUGAGUGUAGUAUAUAUAAUAUCGUAAUAAUAAUGAAAAAAACAAGUGAAACAUGUAAAGAAAAAUAAAUAACUAUUUUAAUGAACCCAGGGGUGUCAAUAAUUGUGACACUUAUUUUCUGGAAAUAACAUAAAAUUUUGGUUGAUUCCAUUGAAUCGUUAAUAAAAAAUAUUUAGCAAGUUGGACAAUCAAUAUAUAGUGACAUUUAUGCAAUACAAUUGUUCAUCUUUAUCAGGGGUGCAAAAACAUUUGAGGUGGCUGUUUAGAACAUGUUUAGGGCCCAUUUCAGUUCUGGAUUGCUUACUGUCAACACCGCGGCGUGUUGUAUAUGUGUGUCUCUGUGUGUUCAGUGUGUUCUCAUUUUGUGUGUUUACAGCUUGGCUGGUUUGGGAUAGAACCCACAUGUGGUCUAAACUGGUCAGAUGUGUUCCAGUCUCCUGAGAUGGGGGGCGCUGUUUAUAAAGAGAGUCUCUCAGGGGAGCCAGACACCGAAGGAGGAACCCUCAGCACUGAGAGGAAGAGUGUGCAGGUAGAAAGAGCAGGGUCACCUGUACCCAGCUGUCUCUCUAUGAAGAGUGAUCGUUCAAUGGGUCUUCCAAUCGCAUUCAGAGGAGAGGUCACAGGUGACCAAAGCGUCCAGGUUGAAAGAGCAGGGUCACCUGUACCCAGCUGUCUGUCUAUGAAGAGUCAUCGUUCAAUGGGUCUUCCAAUCGCAUUCAGUGGAGAGGUCACAGGUGACCAAAGGUUACUGCAGUCUCUCCAGUCCUGCUCUUUAGAAGAUACAAGUUCAGAGAAAUCAUCUUCCCCAAGACAGGUGAGUUCUGUUUUUUUUUUCAAUUGUUUUUAAUGAAUUUGUGUUUUAUUUGUAUUGUAAGUUUCAUUUGAAUAUAUAAUGCAUGUAUCAUGUACAAUAUAUAGAAUACAUACUUGAGGCCAAAGAAUUACUUACAGCUAAGCUAAGGACAUUCAAACUCUAUUUUUUACAACAGCACACAUUUCAUGUUACCAUACAUUCUCUGUGUUAAGUCAAUUAGGGUAUCUGCUUCAUUUCCAUAAGAGGUAUUUUCAAAAAAAUAGCUAAGAGACAGAUUUAUUUCAGCUUUUAUGUACUAUAUCAGAUUUUCAGCUAUGCACGUAAAUAGAAUGUCAAAAGCAGAAAGUGUAGUUUUUCUAAAAAUAAUAAAUAAAAAACUACUUUUUACAUUAUGAACAAAAAAAAGAUUGCAAUUAGACAUUCCAGUGCCAAGUAAAUGACCUAAAAGCAAACUACUGCUACCCUCUCUGAGAUCUACCCAUUGUGACUUUUGCCCCUGAUUGGAAGCCUCAUAUACGUUACAGUAAUCAUACAGCGUUGAGUUCUUCAAGCUUGUUUACAUACUGUAGCUUUCGAACGUAGCUUACGCCGUCCUUCUAGCUGAAACUACAGCUUAGCUAUUCUACUGCGUACUGACUUACUUUCACUUUGCAUUUUCACGUAGCGCAUGAGUGGAAGCUUAGCGCACACUUUAGUAGAGCUUUGACUAUUGGCAAAUGCUUUGCAUAAAAGAUACUGAAGUACUAUAAAGGGCACUACAUUAUUAUAAAUAGUUAAUGGUUCGAUUUUAUAGUUUUGUCAUUUUCCUCCUUGUGAUGCCAAAAAUGCCAGAUGCGGAACUGUGUAAAGUGUGGGUAUAUUUUAUUUGUAGUUGUGUAAAUACAGAAAUAUGAAUGACUUUCCCGGCAAGAUUAUACAGGUGCAAAAACAAUAGUUUAAUGUUUUACUUUUAGUUAUCCAGCAAGGCAGUGUAAUGACCGAGAGGUUUUCAUGAGUCAGAGGGGGGCUCGAAGCUGCCUGCACACUUCCAAAAGUGCUGCAGACAGCCACGCUACCCAGUGAGCCACUAGCGAAGGAGAUAUAUAAGCAGAAUUUUGUGGUUUUAAACAAGUGCACUUCUAUACAUGUCAUUUUGCGUGUGCAUCCGAUGAAUCGUUAGCAAGGUAGCUAUAAGGAAAUUUUAUACCUACUGGUGAGGCAGGGUUAUGAGAGGACAAUUUGUUCUGGUUGUUAGAGUUACACA